ACAACUAACUUCAGAUAUUCUCUAGCACUUCUUAUCUUUAGCCAGGGGCAGAUAUAAAAAGGAUACAUAAUUAUGAGGACGUUCGUUGUGCUUGUUUUAGUUAUGUUGGUGAUGACUUCAACCUUGGCCACGAGCAGGAACUUAGUCCAGAAGUAUAACGAAGACAAUAAUGGUUUCGAGCAGGGGGAAAGUAGCAGCGUGAAUAAUCACCAUUAUAUACCAAGGCAAGACUUCAACAAUGGUAAUGGAGGUGAUGUUCCUAAAGGAGGAGUUGAUACAGAUGCUGGCAAGUUCUAAAAGUAACCUAGUAUACCUUGUAUAUAUGCACGGUAUAACUGUAGUAAAUAUAGGAAUAAAGGGUAAAUUUUCAUAUGCUCGUGUUUUGUUAAGUAAAGUUGGUAGUGGUUAUUUAACGUUCCCGUGUUUGUUUCUUGUAGUGAAAUAUGUUGUUGUUUUCAUGUUGAAGCUUUGUCCAUAUAACUACAGUAAGACUUUGCUAUGACA